GAUCCGGCUCAGGAAUGAACGCUAGCUACAGGCUUAACACAUGCAAGUCGAGGGGCAGCAUUUCAGUUUGCUUGCAAACUGGAGAUGGCGACCGGCGCACGGGUGAGUAACACGUAUCCAACCUGCCGAUAACUCGGGGAUAGCCUUUCGAAAGAAAGAUUAAUACCCGAUGGUAUAAUUAGACCGCAUGGUCUUGUUAUUAAAGAAUUUCGGUUAUCGAUGGGGAUGCGUUCCAUUAGGCAGUUGG
rnacentral:rRNA from 1 species